GCAAAACUUUCUCACACAACCCUGCCAUGGAACACUAGCAUCAUAUAUGGUAAAUUCACAAAGAGAUGAAUCAAAUCUUACGUCAUAGUGCGGGGGGCCAAAUGAUCACCAAGAAAAUUUUGUUGUCCACAAUGAUAAUUUCCAAGAAAAGAAUCCAAUGGAAAAAAAUUUACUCAAAUGUGGAAAAUAUUUUUGAAACAUUGCAUGCACGAAAAAGUAGAUGCAUAAACUAAAAAGAUGAAAAUAAAAAUUUGGGAGCACCAUAUGUCCCCAAAGAAGAGUUUUCCACAUGAAAAGAUAAUGACUUUUGGAACACUAUAUUUCCCCCUAAGCUAACUCCAAAAUCAUCAUGAUUUAUGUGGCCCUAUCUUCAAGGAAAAAUAUCAACCGAGAGAGGAAAUAUCUCUAUUGAGAGGGGAAAAUAUACAGAGAUUAUUUCCCAAUCUCAAACAUGUUAUAUUUUGACCUAAAAAGAGGAAGGCCUACAAAAAAAAUGCAGGAGAGGAAACAGAGAUGAGAAAUUGCAUCAAUUUCAGUGCAUGCACCUGUUAAACCAGCUGAGCGAUUG
rnacentral:misc_RNA from 1 species